GAGCCCACUGCACCAGGAGGAACCCAGAGCCCACUGCACCAGGAGGAACCCACUGCACCAGGAGGAACCCAGGAUCCAUCAGGAGGAACCCACUGCACCAGUCCUGCAGUAAGUUCCAGAUCUUCCACUGGAGGCAGUGGAUUUUAUUGGUUUCUGCUCUAACACUGUUUACCCCUGAAACUCCAGAAGUGUUUUGUGGACUAAAACACUUCACCCCACUCAUUUUUCGGGAAGUGAAGAACAGCACCAAAGCAAACAUUUAAAAUGUAAUAAAUAAAGCUUAUGAAGCCAGAAUAAAGAUCCACAGAUCAUUGAUCUUUAGAAAACUGAACCAGCAGCUAAGACGAACCACGACAGCUGCCGGAGUCAUGAAGCCCUGAAGGCAGAAAAUAAAAACACACGGCCCUUUCUUAAACUCUGAACUCAAUUGUUUCGUCCAAGUUACUUUUUUUAAUUUGUGGAAACAGAUAAAAAAGAAAAACUGUUGUAAUACUAAUUUCAACCACAAGAAGCUGAAGUGGUGCAGUACACCAGUCUUCAUGUUUUCUAAUGCAAUUCACCCUCUUGUGGCUGAAAUGAGUAUUACAACAACAAACAUGAGCCGUUCCCUCCCACUUUUUAACACCAAUAACAAAGGAACUUAUUAAAGAGG